GACAGUUUGGCCGAGUGGUCCUAGGCGCUAGCUUCAGGCGCCAGUCUACGGGGGCCCGAGUUCGAAUCUCGAAGUUGAUAUGGCGCA